rnacentral:rRNA from 1 species
GAUGAACGCUGGCGGCGUGCUUAACACAUGCAAGUCGAACGGACUUUUAUUGAAACCUAGUGAUAUAAAAGUUAGUGGCGGACGGGUGAGUAACGCGUGGGUAACCUGCCAUAUACAGGGGGAUAACACUUAGAAAUAGGUGCUAAUACCGCAUAAGCGCACGGUGCUGCAUGGCACAGUGUGAAAAACUCCGGUGGUAUAUGAUGGACCCGCGUCUGAUUAGCUAGUUGGUGGGGUAACGGCCUACCAAGGCGACGAUCAGUAGCCGACCUGAGAGGGGUGACCGGCCACAUUGGGACUGAGACACGGGCCCAAACUCCUACGGGAGGCAGCAUGGGGAAUAUUGCACAAUGGGCGAAAGCCUGAUGCAGCGACGCCGCGUGAGCGAAGAAGUAUUCGGUAUGUAAAGCUCUAUCAGCAGGAGAAAAAAUGACGGUACCUGACUAAGAAGCACCGGCUAAACUACCGUAG